UACGUAGGGGGCAAGCGUUGUCCGGAUUUAUUGGGCGUAAAGAGCGUGUAGGCGGCCAUGCAGGUCCGUUGUGAAAACUCGAGGCUCAACCUCGAGACGUCGAUGGAAACCGCAUGGCUAGAGUCCGGAAGAGGAGAGUGGAAUUCCUGGUGUAGCGGUGAAAUGCGCAGAUAUCUGGAGGAACACCGGUGGCGAAGGCGGCAUCCUGGACCGGCAUUGACGCUGAGGCGCGAAAGCCAGGGGAGCAAACGGG
rnacentral:rRNA from 1 species